AAAUAAACUUGUUAAGCUCACAAGAAUCAUCCUGACCAGGCCCACCUGUGAAUGGUUGCAGGCAAGAAGAAAUUAACACAUCCCUUUCCGGAGUCUGGCUGGAACCAGAACUUUAGCCCCUCCUCUUUCAGUGUAAAAGAAGCCUGAUUCCUAACUCCGGAAACAUGGUUCUUUGGGACACUAGAGCGUCAUCUUCUGGGUCUGCUGGCUUUCCAAAUCAAGUUGCAAUUCCUUGUCCCAACAACUCAUCUCUUGAUUUAUUGGUCCAUUGUGCAGUGACCAGUAUCAGAUCAGACCAGUAUAAGCUUGGACUCAGUAAAAAACUUUAGUAGAGCCAGCCAGGAGACUAACUGCUUGUGGACAGCCAACCCUGGUUAGGGAAUUUUCCAGUAAGGCCCUAGCAGCUGCUGGGACCACUUGUCUUGAGGAUCUGCCCUUCAGAAUUUCCUAAAGCAGCACUGGCUGCCUCAGUACAUGGCAGCUGGAAUAAGGGAUCAGCAUUUGGUAGUCGACGGGCUCAAUGCAAUAGGAACCAGGGUGGCCUGGCACAGAUGCACUGAUGAGGGAUGCACUAAAAGCAGCUACAAGUGGCUGCAUCAGGAAGGAUCAAGGGCAGGCUGCAGCAACGGGCCAACACAAGGACGUCAUCUCACCAAGGGCUGCGUUUGAGGUAGGGCUACUCAAAUUAGGUGAAAGCCCUAAGAAUUGCCUGGUCUCUGGAGCAGCGUCAGCAAGGGACAGCUUCGUGCUGGGCAGGCUGACCAGGUGCUGGAAAGGUACAAGGCUUGGCAAUGAGAGAAGUGGAGCCCCCAGCUCUUCUCUUCUGUGACCUACCCACACACACUGAUAAAGUUAAUUAUCUGCCCUGGCUAAAUGACUUUCCCUAGCAACACCCUAGCAACUAACAUCAGCUCUGCCUUAGGCUACAAAACUGGAAAGAGAUUUCUUGAAGUCCAGUGUAUUUUACAACAGAACGAAACAUCUGAACAGGAAAUUAAACAGAAAGUAAACUGGAUUCAUUGCUAGGAGAUGAGACAUAGACAUACGAGACAGUUUACAACAAUCUACUGAACGCAAUAGUCAAAAUAAGAAACUUUCUUCUCACAAGUUAUACUGAAGUCCGGAGGAGAGACUGCAAGACUUCAUUCCAUGGAGAAGAAGAGAAUUUCAAUGGGCAGAAAAAGGGAAGACAUCCUAGGUGAUGGGAAAGCUAUAAACAAAGUUUGCCAAUUCUGAAAGUGGGGAAUACAGGGGAUCCAGCUGGGGAGCACUGAGAGCUCAGUCUGGAAUCUAUGACCAGAUCAUGGAGGGCCUUGAAGUUCACUUGAAGAACCUGGGCUGCAUCAGAGGGUCCUGGGAGGCUGUUAUUCACAGAACAAAUACUUAUGGAGCCAGGCACCAUGAUGUGCAUGGAGGACACAGUGGUGAGCCCCAGAGACAGUACCAGUCCUUAUGGAUACUGGAAUCUAGUGAUGGAGACAGUGAACAAACACCAAAUGUAAAAGUCAAACAUAAAAGUGACCAUAUGAUUAUAACACAACAUUUCCCUGGUGGCUGCUAAAGAGUCUGCCUGCAAUGUGGGAAACCUAGGUUCGAUCCCUGCAUUGGGAAGAUCCCCUGGAGAAAGGAAGAUAAUUAUAAAUCUUGAGACUAUUAAGAAGAAGAUAUCAAGUUCCAGGAGAGCAUAUAAAGAGGGGCAGGACCUAUUCAGGGAAAUCUGGAAGGACUUCUCUGGGGAAGCAGUUUUGCGCUGAGAUCUGAAGGAUGAGUAGAAGUUGGUUGGGAGAGGACGGUGGGUGGGGGAGACAAAAGCACUGGAUUCUAGGCAGAGAGAACCACACAGACAAAAGUUCAUAAAACUGAAAAGCCAUGGUGGCCAGAGAUCAUGAGAGAAGGGGCGCGUGGCCUUGAGAGGCAGAUCAAGCAGAGCCUCAGAGGCCACAUUAAAGAUUCUUUGUUUUGAGAACCCCAAAAAGCCAGUGGAAAAGGAUUUUAACUGAGGGAUUGACAUUCUAGUCUGCAUUUUAAAAAGGAUCACUCAGACUUCAGUUCAGAAGAUGCACUGGAGGAGAGAAAGAGUAGACAUGGGCAGCCCAGUUAGGAGGCUGAGAGAUGAUGGCAGCUCAGACUGGUGUGGUACCAGAGGAGAUGGCAAAAAAUGGACACAUAUUACAGGGAAUUGGA
ensembl:lncRNA